GGUAAAAUGGCUGAGUGAGGCGUUAGACUGUAAAUCUAAACACAGAGGAGUAGUCCUCUUUUUACCA
rnacentral:tRNA from 1 species